rnacentral:RNase_P_RNA from 1 species
AGGCGGCCAGGCGACCGCUGCUUCGACGGAAUAUUCGAAGUAGAGGAAAGUCCGAGCUCCACCGGGUAGGAUGCCUGCUAACGGCAGGGCGGGGUGACCCGACGGAAAGUGCCACAGAAAUAUACCGUCUCGAACUAUUUGAGAUAAGGGUGAAAUGGUGAGGUAAGAGCUCACCGCUUCGGUGGUGACAUCGGAGGCAAGGUAAACCCCAUCUGGAGCAAGGCCUAGUAAGGGGUUAUAGUACUCGGUCUGACUAAAGUUAGACUCUCCUCAGUUUUUUCCUGUGGAGGGCUGCCCCUGGGUUGGCUGCUUGACCACGAUGGCAACAUCGUGGCUAGAUAGAUGGUCGUCGACUAAUUUAGUAUUUGGAUGAAGCCUCGAAAUAUUUGGGUGUAAACAAAUUUUACAUUAGUAACAGAACUCGGCUUAUCGGCCGCCUUG